rfam:Schistosoma curassoni strain Dakar, Senegal genome assembly, scaffold: SCTD_scaffold0005789
AUUCAGCUGACCAGUCCCAAGUAGGACGAAACGCACGUCUUAAAU